CGGAGGGUGCAAGCGUUAUCCGGAUUCACUGGGUUUAAAGGGAGCGUAGGUGGCUUUGUAAGUCAGUGGUGAAAGCCCGGAGCUUAACUCCGGAACUGCCAUUGAUACUGCUUAGCUUGAAUCAAGUAGAGGUGGAUGGAAUAAUACAUGUAGCGGUGAAAUGCUUAGAUAUGUAUUAGAACACCGAUUGCGAAGGCAGUUCACUAUGCUUGUAUUGACACUGAGGCUCGAAAGCGUGGGGAUCAAACAGGAUUAGAUACCCUGGUAGUCCACGCCCUAAACUAUGCAAACUCGACAUUAGCGAUAUACUGUUAGUGUCUAAGCGAAAGCGGUAAGUUUACCACCUGGGAAGUACGACCGCAAGGUUG
rnacentral:rRNA from 1 species